UGGGGGGACCAUCCUCCAAGGCUAAAUACUCCUGACUGACCGAUAGUGAACCAGUACCGUGAGGGAAAGGCGAAAAGAACCCCGGCGAGGGGAGUGAAAAAGAACCUGAAACCGUGUACGUACAAGCAGUGGGAGCACGCUUAGGCGUGUGACUGCGUACCUUUUGUAUAAUGGGUCAGCGACUUAUAUUCUGUAGCAAGGUUAACCGAAUAGGGGAGCCGAAGGGAAACCGAGUCUUAACUGGGCGUUAAGUUGCAGGGUAUAGACCCGAAACCCGGUGAUCUAGCCAUGGGCAGGUUGAAGGUUGGGUAACACUAACUGGAGGACCGAACCGACUAAUGUUGAAAAAUUAGCGGAUGACUUGUGGCUGGGGGUGAAAGGCCAAUCAAACCGGGAGAUAGCUGGUUCU
rnacentral:rRNA from 1 species